UACGCAGCGCAUGUUUGAGCACGAUAUUGUGAAAGCUGACCCCUUUCAGACGCGCCGUACGGAUAUAUUGAGACGUCAUCACUUCUGCCAUAGACGCCCGCGUCAUCCGGGCUAUAUAUCCCAUGCCAUAAAGGGCCAUAGUCAUGACCGGCAGAGUGAAAUUGGCAAAGGUCACCUCA
rnacentral:ncRNA from 1 species